CAGUCGCCGCGGUAAUACGUAGGUGGCAAGCGUUGUCCGGAAUUAUUGGGCGUAAAGGGCUCGCAGGCGGUUUCUUAAGUCUGAUGUGAAAGCCCCCGGCUCAACCGGGGAGGGUCAUUGGAAACUGGGAAACUUGAGUGCAGAAGAGGAGAGUGGAAUUCCACGUGUAGCGGUGAAAUGCGUAGAGAUGUGGAGGAACACCAGUGGCGAAGGCGACUCUCUGGUCUGUAACUAACGCUGAGGAGCGAAAGCGUGGGGAGCGAACAGGAUUAGAUACCCGCGUAGUCCCUGUCUCUUAUAC
rnacentral:rRNA from 1 species